rnacentral:lncRNA from 1 species
CCUACCGUUGGCGUAAAGGUAUCCCGGCACAACCAGUUUUCAACCGCUUAACAAGUUUCCUGUGCAAUUUUGUACAAAUGCAAGUCCAAAUCUUUGGUUUAUUGUCUAACACUUUCUAUCAGGAUAAGUGCUAUAAAAGCAUACCAUUUAAGUUUCAAGUUUCUAACUGAUCGAAUCCCAGGCAGGAUGAUUUUGAAAGCCAUCAGUAGGAAGUCAUGCUGAAAAUUUACAACCUAAAUUCAACCACAGGUUGUGUGGGGAUAAAUAAAAACAUGUUGUGACGUAAUGCGGAAGUGAUAUCGGUUGCUUGAAAAAUGGAUUUUUCUCAAAUUACAGUGAACAAGUUAUUGUGAGAUAGUCUGAUUACUUUAGAGCCGCCAGAUUGUGUAUUUCAACAACUUUUUCAUGAACCACAGAAACUUCAUUACUGAAUUGUAGGACCAGACAUUGUGAGAAAGUUUGAUUGCAUUUAAGAACUGCCAGAGCUACAGCUAGAAAAGAAACUUUGAACAAUUUCUUUUCAUGAUCUGCUUAAUUGAUCUCCACAUUGAAUUGUCAACCUGUAUGCUUCAUUGUAUAAUGACGUUGAGCAAAUAAAGAUACUGCAGUCAGUGUUACAACCUUCAUUAAACAAAAUGAAUUGAUGUUACAGAAAUGGAUAACAUAUAGAGACAAACACUUUCAGGCUACAGAAACUACACAUUGUUUGAGACUACGAGAAUGUUUUACUUGCAUGAUGGAACUCAUACCACAAAGAAAGAACUUGCUUUAUCUUAUUUCUUAUAACAAGUCCUCAAAAACAUACUCAAGUAAACUACAACAGGAAAGAAAGCGAACAAAGUUGAUUCAGGAUUUAGAAUUGAAUGUUUUUGUGUGUGAAAACCCUGGAUAAAAGGAUUUUAAUUUCAAGGAUUUGAAUUAGUAUGUCAAGGACUGAUUUGUUUUUAAUUCAUCACACAAGUUAUUGACAAUGAUCAAAAAUAUAAAUAGGAUGUAUAAAUACAGACUUUCAUACCUAACUGAAAUAAUGUUGAACUCCACAGAAUAAACAACUAUCAUUUUAAAAACCUAUUUUAUAAUAUAUUACUUCAUUUUUUUACUUAUCAUUGAUAGAAUCUAUUAUCUAAUAAAUCUUUACAAUGUUUCAGGUACUCACCAUGAUUAAGCUAUUUUGAAAUAAUUACAGGACUGAUAUUAUAUGUUAAA